UAUCAUUAAUUUGGAGUGUGAGUACUGUUACUUAUAUUGAAACUCACAGCUUAUGUGUUGUCGUAUUUUGCACAACAAUUUAAUAGUUGUAUAAAUGAAGUGUAUAGUUGGACCUAUUUUGGGGGCGUCACAUUUGGUAUCAGAGUUUAGUCAGUGAAUAUUCUUUUUGUCAGAGAAUAUCCGUACGAUGGCACAAUCAUUGGUGGAUCACACAAUAGAAUAAUUGUCGGAUAUAGAAAGCGACAAAAAUAAUAUUUUUAUAAAAAU
rnacentral:lncRNA from 1 species